rnacentral:rRNA from 1 species
UACGAAGGGGGCUAGCGUUGUUCGGAAUUACUGGGCGUAAAGCGCGCGCAGGCGGCUAUCCAAGUCAGUGGUGAAAGCCCGGAGCUCAACUCCGGAACUGCCAUUGAAACUGUUUAGCUUGAGGACGAGAGAGGUGAGUGGAAUUCCCAGUGUAGAGGUGAAAUUCGUAGAUAUUGGGAAGAACACCGGUGGCGAAGGCGGCUCACUGGUCCAUUACUGACGCUGAGGUGCGAAAGCGUGGGGAGCAAACAGG